rnacentral:misc_RNA from 1 species
UCCUUUGUUUACGUCCCGUCGGCGCUGAAUCCCGCGGACGAC